UAAAGAUAUUGUUUGUUCUUGGGCGGGUUAGGACAUUGGGUGUUGUCCUUGCUGUUCUUUUCUGACCCUGCAUCCAGGACUCUGCAAGUAACCAAAGAGAGAGGGGCCAUUAUAUGUAUUCACAAUUAAUACUGUCGCCUAAUUCCUGGUCAUCAGACCCCUCAAGUGUGAUCGUGUCGUUCCUGAUGAACUAUCUUUGAAAGAAUUUGGACUUUCUCGCUGAGAACUUUGUCUCUCUUAUGCUAUGAUGAUGAUAUGUAAACUAUAAAAAUAACAGUAAAAUUAUGGCCAAACCCUUCAACUACUCAAGAUUACAUGAAGAAAAACAGUAAAUGAUCAACAUAUGGUUUUUUUGCAAUAAGAACUUGGAUUGCUUGCUUUAAUCAGUCACUCUGAUUAUCAAGGAUGCUGUCAAUCUAAUCUCAUUCCACUAAUUUACUGCAAAUUGAUGUCACUGCCCAAGAAUGUCCUCUUGGCUUAGACUGUUUGCCACAACAUGCUGGUGGAGGUUGGACACAUUUCCCUGGUUGUGAAGUCGAGGCUGCAUGUCAACAAGAAACAAAAAAUGUCUGGAUAGUAGAUGUGGCAGUACCUGGAGACAGUAGAAAAAAAGAGAAUUCACAAAAUACAAAGACCUGUAAUUAGAAGUAGAAUGACUGUGGUAAGAGAAAGUAAAUAUAGUACUCAUAGUAAUAGGCACCUUGGGUACAAUCCCAAAACAUCUGGAGCACUACUUGAACCCCAUUGGCACUGACAAAAUCAUCAAGAGUCAAUUGCAAAAGGCAGAUUUGCUAGGAACAGCUUUGAUUCUGUGAUGAUACUUUUAAUGGUAUCAGACAACAACAUUUGCCUAUCCCAAGUCCUUGAGAAGGACUCAAUAAGUAUAUAAAAAUGCCAAAUACAAUCUAAGCCUCUGGUUGAUUGUGUAAUGAAUCACAAUAAUCCAGAAAUCUUAAUAUAGCUUUAAUAAUCUUCACCGAAUGUAUGAGAAUCAAAUUAAUCUCCAAUCCUGAAGGACAGUCCAUCAUAUCUACUUGGGAUUGACGAAUACUUGCGUUCCAAAAACUACCAAAAAUAAAAUAAAAAGGAUGGAUGAAUUGACCUUUUGUUUUUCCUAAUGUAUUCCCACCAAUAAUAACUUGCAGAAGGAAGCCAUUGAGGAACUGGUGAUGACCUUUAAAGUCCUACAUAGCCUAGGAGCAGCUUUCUUGAGGAAGCACCUUCUACCAAGAACAUUACCCACCCCACAUAUUCGGACAGGGAGGACAUGCUCCAGGUUCCUUCUUUUGAAUCUUGUUGUCUUAUGGCUCCUAGGAAAGUAUGUGUUUUCCGCAGUUGUCCCUGUCCUCUGGAGCAAACUAUAUGACAGGUCCCAACUCUUCUCACCUUAAGAUCUGGUCUUUGACAAGCAUUAGGGACCAGUUCAGUGGGAGCCCUUUGGUGAUCGUUCUGUUAUAUGCUCUGCUCACCAUAUUCCAUUUGGUAUUUAUAUAUUGUCUAUUGUUUAUUGUGGGGGGUCCUUGGUGUUUUUUGAAGUUGGCUGUUUUUUUGCAGAUGGUUCAUUUUUUAAGUAGAUAAUGGCAUCAGUGCUAGAAGGGAAUAGUAUUCUAGCACUGAUUAUGUUACCUAGUUGGUUAAUGUGACGUCUGCAAGAAAACAACCAAACUCAGAAAGCACCAAGGACUCCACAUUUCAACCCUGAGUUAUAAACAUUGUCUUCUGUAUUAUGUAUUGUUAUGUGGGCUUUUCUUUUCUUUCUUUGGUGUAUUGUUGUGUUUGCACUGUAUGCCACCCAGAGUCACGUUGAUUAAAUUGGGUGGACUUAUAAACCAAAGAAACUUAAAUAAAUGCUUUGAUGCAUGUUCUGAAACCCUGGCAUUGGGUAUAACUUCCAUGGCAAACUGUUCCUUCCUUCUGAAUAUGUGUCCAUACUCCUGACCUGCUCUUUUGCACUUCCAUCUAGUAGGAAUCUUAAAUCUAGUUAAAGGUCCUCUAGGAAUCUAAGAAAACUUCAAAACAUAAGUCCCAAGUCUGAAGUUUCCCAAUUUCUUCUUUAUGACCACCAUCUACUUCAGGGGUGUCUAACCAUGGCAAUUUUAAAACCUGUGGACUGGCUGGGGAAUUCUGGGAAUUGAAGUCCACAGGUCUUAAAAUUGCCAAGGUUAGACACCCCUAAUCUAUUUGCAAAUACAGUGUGUUAAUUGCUUAGCUACCCUAUGCUGGAGGAAUGAAGAACACCAUAGUAAACCCUCUGCUUUUGUCUCAGUGCUCUCUUUGUCAACCAAAGGAGCAGAGAGUGCUUUGACUGAAGCCCCUAAUCCUUAUCCUUUCCACACGCACUUCCAGUUCUGCGAGAUCCCUUUUCCACUUACGAAAGCUGCUGUCAGAGCUGGCUUGUGGCAACCCACCAAGGGAUUUGCGAACCAGGCCGAGAAAAAUGACACCCUUUGUCUGGCAGAUGCUCCAUUGUCUCUCCAACCACAAAUGAUUAUUCGUCUACACCUAUCGGUGACUAAUUCUUCUGUAACCAGGAUGGGAAAGUGUCUUACCUAACCAAUCUUAAUGGGCUAAGUAUUUCAGUGGUAUUUGUUGAACAAUAUAUAAUUGCUCUGUUUAGAUUUAAAUGAAGGGCUCCUUUGAGGACUCAGGGUGUAAACCAGAAAGUGUAUUCAUUUCCUGAGAUUCUGGAUUCAAGUUCCUUCUUAUACUGUCAUAAAUGCAAGCAAAAGCUGGAGACAAUUGCCAUCAUUUGCCUACUCUUUGGUCCAUAAAGAUUUUGGCAAGCAAAACUAGAGUAGGUCACCAGGUCUUUCUCCAAAAACCAUAAACAAAGAAGUCCUAGACCGAACCUCACCAAAAAUAUCACCCAAAGCCAAAAUAGUCAAACAGAGGUUGUCAUACUUUGGUCAUGAGAGUUGACACACUCGAAAAGUCAGUCAUGCUGGGAGUGAUCAGCAGAAAAAGAAGAAGGGCUGCCUUAGUACCCGAUGGCUGGACACUAUAAAAGAUGACACCGGGAUGACCAUGGCGGAUCUGAAGGAGACGGUGCAAGACAGAGGGAUAUGGAGAGUGCUGAUCUAUAGAGUGGCCAAGGUCAGAUGCAGCUGAAUGGCUGACAGUGCCUACUCUUUCCACUUGAUCUCUUUUUACAAUUGCCAAACAAUGUCACAACAUGACUUGAAAUUCACGAUUGCACACAUAUUCACACACUUUAACCUGUUUUGAAGACCUAAUGCCGAUGCUGGACACCCUUUGGGCUCUUCAGAUGUUAUUCUGGGAUAACUUACAUUAAAAAGAAGAAGAUUGAAAAUAAGAACACCUUAAUUUCCCCAUGUUCUCCUUACUCACUCCUUAUAUUACUCCCUUUCUUUGAGGUGCUUCUGACACUGUUCAUGAGAAGAAGCAACAUCUGUCAAAACUGUGUCAGAAAAAACGUGGGAGAAAGGAAUAGAAAUCUGACACACUGAUUGAUGAAAUCAUGCUGCAGAAACAUGAUCUAAUGGCAGCAGUGGUCCUUUGAUCAUAAAAUCAUAAGCGCUAAAAGGGAUCUUUACCAUAAUCUAUUUGAACUUCCUGAUCUAUGGAGUAUCAGCAAACAAUUUUAGCUGGUUGUUCACUUGUUUGUUCAAUUUACAUCUCACCUCUAUUACUCCAGGUGGCUUACAAAGAUAUCAGGACCGAACAACCUGGAAAGUAAUCAGAAAGAUAACAAAAAAUCAUUAAAAAAGCUUUGAGAACAAUAACCAUUAUUAAAAAAAAACCAUUAAAAACAUUAAGUGGAUUCAAAAACGAUAGGGGGAAAAGUGCUACACUGGAUAUACAAAUGGAAUCAGCUGACUCUUCACAUUCUAACCGAAGAGGCGGGAACUGACAGCCACAGCAGGAUGAAGAAUUUUGUGAGAAGCAACAAAGGAAGAAUGAAAUAAUGAAAUGGUGCUUCUAUUGUGAAGGCUCGCUUGAAGCUCACAAAGCUCAGAGGGCAGCUAUGUUGAGCAAAACCAUCAUUUCCCCAUUUGUCUUGAGGCCAUUCCAUGCAAAACGGUGCUGCUAGGAACAACAACUGCUUAUGAAUCAAAAGAGAGGAAUUUACUGAGAAGGUGUCAGCAGUAGCUCAUGUCAACGUUAAUUAAGUGAAGGUUUUCAGCAAGGAGAAUGCUUCUGCUUGUUGGCUCCUUAGGCAGAUCAGAAAGUGAAAAUGGCACUUGUUAAUUCUCCUGAACACAGUCUGAUCGAGCAUCUCGCUGUACAAAUAUAAAUAAUGAUGGUAUAUCUAGUGCUGGAAGUUGUUUCUGUCAUACUUCCUAACAACUGUGGUUAUGAGAAAGUCCCUGGAGGGCACCAAGUUAGAGCAAGUGGUUUUCUCCAGAAACCAGGGACUGUACAAGAUGGCUUGGCUCCCAUUGGGACUAGACUUAUGAAGCAAACAUAGCUUCAUAAUCAAGUUUACUGCCAGCUCUUCUGUUUCUGAAUACAAGCAUUCAAGUCUACAUCUUGAAAGAUAUAAACUUUUUGCCAGUUGGCUGAUACUAAAGAAAACUUGACGUUACUCAAAAUUACUUGCUACUGAAAGAAUAGCUCUACUCGACUGGAAACCUUUCUUCAGAGACUAUGUCUCAAAGGUGCUUUUCCCCUGCCCGCCCCCCCGAAAAAAAGGCAACUGGAUUGUUUUUUUCCUUGAGAAAGACGUUUUGCAUCUCAUCUAAGAAGCUUCAUUGGUUCUGAUGAAGCUUUUUGGAUGAGAAGUGAAAUGUCUUCAAGGGAAAGCAAAGUCCAGUUGCCUUUUGAAAAAAAGCAUCUUUGUGACAACUGUGACCUGGAUGACAGAGAACCUCCACAGACAUUCAGAGAUGAUGCUUUGGAAAUCACAUGAGAAGUCAGAUCUGGAUGGUGGUGCCUGAAGCAAUCAAACGGCCAGACUUAUUUUUGCAAAUAGAGAGAGACUAAAGUUGACUCAAUGGCAGCGUUUCCUCCAAUGCAGCAGAUAUUGUGUCAAUCUUGGUGCCUGAAUUGUAGACCUCUGUUGGGAUCUAGUUGCUUCAUGCAACACAGCAUAGAACAUAACCAAUCCUCAGUUUGAUAUCAACGAAAGUGAAAGCUUCUAGAUGAAGCACAGGCUAUUGUUUUCCUGCAUGACCCUUACAGAAAUAGAGCUCAAUCAAGUGAGCUUUGCAAAGAGCUGCACUAUCUUUCCUGUUCCUUUCCUGAUGAUCACUGGAGAAGCUCACAUAAGAAAAGGCUGAUCUUGGAUCAAUUCACUGGUGUGGGUUGCCAUGUUCAUUUUGUAAGAUUGCACUGGCCUUCAGUCCUGUGCUCCAGGUUCUCCUGCUCAGCCAAGUAUCAGAAAAAGCCACGGUGCCUAAAAUUCGGUGUUCAACCUAAAGGGAAUUCAAAAUUAACAAAAAGCUAGAAUUCUAAAGGUUGGGAGAAUUCCAGAGGAAAGGUAAAGACUGGGAGAAUUCCACAAAAACACUGGAGGCCAAGCCGUCCCCAAAUGGAUCCCUGGGGCUUACAGCAAUAUUAAAAAAAAUACUGCAUGGGCCACCUGAGAGUUGGCCCACCAGAAUCCAUGUAUCUGAAAAUAAAACUAGAUUAGAGAAGAACUUUGGAAGAAGUCAAGUUCUUCAGCUGGUAUCCAUUGUAAGGUGAGUGGUGAAAGUCACCAGACUUGGUGUGUUUAGCCAAGAAAUCAUGGUACUUUGUACACCUUUUCCUGAGGUUGUGUGAUGCAAAUUUCUUUGACCCAAGCAGAGGCAACGAUAUACGCCAAGAAAAUACCUACCAAAAUAUCAUUUGGUUGAGAGAUAAACUAAACCCAGUUCAGUAAUAUUACUCAACAUGAGAAUGCUAUUUUUGUAAGCACAACUGAAUCUUCUGAUUUUGCUUUUUUUCCUUCUUCUCAAAGUGUCAUGUCAUCCUAUCUUAAAUUUAGAUGUCUUCCAUCGCUAAUUUGUGUAGUUUUCAGCCAAGCAUUACAGAAAGCACCUUUUCUUCUCUCAGGGAUGAACAUUACAAUAUCCAUCAAGUGUCUUUCUGAGGCAGAUCCUAAAUAAAUCACAUACCUCAUUAGCAGGUGCAUGAUUACCUUUUUUAUCCCAGCUUUGGGUUAUUGUUAUUUUUUCUCUUGAAUUGCUGGAGGCCAGAAACAAAAGAAACAAUCUGGAGUUCAAACACUCGGUUAACCUGACAAUAACCCCAAUACAAGAGUGCAUUAUAUUAAAAAAAGCUGGGAUGUUCCCAAUUGCAUGAUUCUUAUAUUUAAGGCACAGUUGACUGAGUUUUGGUUGAUCUUGGCCUUCUCAUUGACCCCAGGCAGUAAAUUCUUCCUCCUUUAUCCACAGCUUCUUCCUUUUGCUGUUCAAAUAGUUUGUCAGCAAAUUAUCCAGUUAAUAAAGUGCCAGUGAUGACAGUUUUUCCAAACAUGGUGAGACCUAAUUGUGAGCCUGAUCAAGCAAAACAAACAGAGAAAGAGAGAGGGAGAGGAAGGGAAAGUGCUCAGAAGGGUAAAGAGAAAUUGAUUCAUGAAUUCUAAGACUCCUCCGUACUUAAAGACAUUGAAUUAUACACUGUAUGGAAUUUAUUUAAAAAUAGAACGAAGAUGAACAUUAGUUACUUGCCUGAACUGUGGAACAAAGAGUUUGACUAUCCAAUCCAUGGGUGUUGGUUUUAAGAAAUGUAAAAUAUACCUCUUAUGAUUUAAAUCAGUGGUUCCCAACCUUUUCUCUACCCUGCACCCCUAGAACGCUUCUAAUAUAUUCUCGUACCCCUUACAAAAGUUUGAAAUAACGGCAACGAAUUAUGCAUAUACACUAUAAUUUUGAAAACCCAAGUUUUCCCACCCCCUGGAAUAUCAUCUCGCACCCCUGGUUGGGAACUCCUGAUUUAAAGGAUGAAGAUAAAACCCAUCAGAAAAUAUUAUUUCAUGUCUAAAACAACAGAUGUUUUAAAAGGUUGGAUGUCAAAUUUGUGUGUGUGUGUGUGUGUGUGUGUGUGUGUGUGUAUGUCUAUGUGUUGGCAUUUAAAGAGAUUUUAGGGCUCUUUAUAUUAUUUAGUCUUGUCCUAUCAUAGCUUUGGAUGGAUGGAUGGAUGGAUGGAUGGAUGGAUGGAUGGAUGGUGGAUGGAUGGUGGAUGGAUGGAUGGAUGAAUCCACCAUCGCACAUAUCAUUCUCAAAUUAAUUCUACUUCAGCCUUCUCAGCCAAGCCUAACCCAGGCCUGCAAUUUGAGUGUGAGCUCCACCUACUUUUGCCUUGUAGCCAUUGAAGCCAUUAGCCUACUACCCCCUACAUUAUGAAGUCACCAUGAAGUUGUUCACCAGUGUGUUAAGGCAAUAAGCAGACCCAAAAUACAUUCAGAUCCGUUCUUCUGUUUUGUCUGCUAGGGAUUGUUUUCUUUGGACUUAUGCAAAUACAUGCAUACAUGCUACCAGUUUGCCCUUGAAACAUUCCCUGUGAUGGAAUGUCUUUUCCUAAUGGGUUGUUUUACAAAAACUGGCAAAGGAGGUGAGACUAUCGUAAUGCUCCCUUGAGCCUGGGAGGAACGUACAAAUGCCUACCAAGGAACGUUGGGGCCUCCUUCUCUUCUCAGAGACCGUUCUUGGAAACAAUAGCCUCAGUGUUUCCACCAGAUAAUGGACAUGUUAGAACAGAUGAAGGGGUUAGCUCAUCUUGUUUGUCUGCCAGCCUCCAGAGAGCACACCUUUCUCUUUUGGCACCACUGACAGAUUUCAUCAGCCAAGGCAAGCCUGAAUUCACCCCAAGUGCUAUGGAACAAAAAUAUAAUUACUUCUGUCAUUCAGUGAAGUGGUGAAUAGUUUGCAUACUGGGUUGUGACUGAGAGUUAAUUCAAACCCAUCAAACUCACAAGCUCAACUUCUUCUGCCUCCAGAUGGGAUGAUUAAUAUUUUUUUUUAAAAAAAGGUUUGCAGCCAAAUACACACACACACACACACACACACACACACACACCCGUUCACCCACACCCAUGCAAAGGCACAUAAUGUGCACAUUUUUCCCAUCGUGAAGAUAUGUUUGUCAGAGCAGUCAACGAGAAUGUGGAUUAUCAAUUAUCAGAUGAUAGCAAUGAUAGAGAUGUUAAUUUUUUUCCAAGGGGUAAAUGAAAAUUAUGGGGCCAGGGCUACACCUGCCAAACUCUUUCCAUUUUGAGAUGAUUUGGAGAGAAGUGUGACCUGAAACAGUGAUUAAUAUCAGAGUUACGGGAGAAGAUCUAAGCUUCCUUUCGUAAUAUACAAUAACUGAGAAAAGAAUAAUCAUUAACAAUUUAACUGAAAAGUUGUUUCAUAAAGAACCAACCCAGAGACAACAAUUUUAGCACUGAGAAGACCAGAUUAGAAAUGACAAGAUGACAGCAAAUGGCUACAAGGAUAAGUCUUCCCUGCAGUCCUAUAUUGUAUAUAAGAUGACUUAAAGAUAGCCCCCACUUAAUUCCAUGGAGAUUCCUUCCAGGUUGAUUGAUAUAAGAUUGCUGUCUUAAUGUCUAUAUGAUCCAUGAUUAUGACUUUUCACGCAGAUGUGUCUUCUAGUAAAGACACAUUCUAAGAUUCUUCUCCAAGUUGACAUAUACUUUGUGCAACUCUGUGCUAUCCAAGGCUUUAUCUCAGGGGUCUUCUAACUCAGGGCUUCUCAAUCUUUUCACCCCUUGUACCACUUUUAGGAUAUAGCAACAUCUGAGUACCACCAUUCACCUAGCAAGGUGUCAAAAACUUGAUUAUCACUUUUUUCCUUUUUUUUUUUUUUG